CAGCGGAAGAGGGAGUAGAUAUUCCACCUUUGCGCCAAAGGCGCCGUCUUAGGCACAAACCCCUUCCCUCCCCGAUUUCUUCUCUCCUAGAUAGAGAGAGAGAACAGACAGACAGAGGGAGAGAAAGAGAGAGAGAAAAUCAGUAGAGAAGAGAAAUAGAGUAGGAGAGAAGCAGAGUCAGAGUAGGAUGGAUUCGGAUCAAGGGAAGCUGUUCGUUGGCGGGAUAUCAUGGGAUACAUCUGAAGAGAAGCUUAAGGAAUAUUUUGGUAACUAUGGCGAGGUUGUGCAGACUGUGAUCAUGCGUGACAAGGUCACUGGAAGGCCGAGAGGUUUUGGGUUUGUCGUGUUUGCAGAUCCUUCCAUUCUCGAUAGGGUUCUUCAGGAUAAGCACACCAUCGACGGAAGAACGGUGGAAGCUAAAAGGGCUUUAUCAAGAGAGGAACAGCAGACUUCUAGAUCGGGAAACCCUAAUGCAGGCAGAAACCUUGGAGGUGCAGGAAAUAUUAAGACCAAGAAGAUUUUUGUAGGAGGAUUGCCUCCCACUUUGACAGAAGAAGGAUUCCGUCAGUAUUUUGAAACCUAUGGUCAUGUAACUGAUGUAGUAGUUAUGUAUGACCAGACUACCCAGCGUCCUCGUGGAUUUGGAUUCAUCUCCUUUGAUACUGAAGAAGCAGUUGAUAGAGUCCUACACAAGACUUUCCAUGAAUUGAAUGGUAAACUUGUGGAGGUCAAACGUGCUCUUCCAAAAGAAGCAAACCCUGGAAGUGGUGGCCGUCAAAUGGGAGGUGGGAGUUAUCAGGGAUAUGGUGGUUCAGGUGGCAAUGCAAAUACAUAUGAUAGUCGGGUGGAUGCUGCCAGGUACAUGCCACCUCAAACUGCUGGAGGUGGUUUUCCAGCUUAUGGUUCUUCUGGCUAUGGUGCACCUGGUUAUGGUUAUGGUGCAGCUAGUAAUGGUGUUGGCUAUGGUGGCUAUGGCGUUGGUGGCUAUGGUAGUGCCAAUGCUGGAUACAGUGGGCCUGCUGGGGCCUAUGCGAACCCUAAUGCUCCAAAUGCUGGGUAUGUAAGUGGUCCUGGUGCCCCUAGAAGCCCAUGGAACAGUCAAGCUCCUACUGGAUAUGGUUCUGCAGGUUAUGGUGCAAAUGCAGGUUAUGGGUCUGCUGCUCAUUGGAAUUCUCCCAGUGGUGCUGCUGGUGCUGGUAAUGCUGUUUCUGCUCCAACAGGUCAGUCCCCGAGUGGGGCUGCCAAUUAUGGGAAUCAUGGUUAUGGGUAUGGUGGUUAUGGUGGGGGUGAUGGAUCUUAUGGUAAUCCAAGCAGCUAUGGUGCUGUUGGAGGGCGUGCUGGCAGUGCCCCAAAUAGCAAUUCUGGUGCUGGAGAGCAACAGGGAGCAGGUGGUGGCUACAUGGGAAGUGGCUAUGGUGAUGCUAAUGGGUAUCCAAAUGCAGUCUGGAGAUCUGAUGCUUCACAAGCUGGGAGUUAUGGGACUGCCCAUGCAAAUGGACCUCCAUCUGGACAGGUGGGAUAUGGUGGUGGGUAUGGUGGUGGUGCUCAAUCCAGGCAGGCACAACAGCAGUAAUCCAGAUAUUCCAACUUAUUCAUUCUUGUUUCACGGGAACCCUCCCAUGCAUGCAAUGCAGUCGUCACUUUCGCAUUUCACACAAGGAGGGAUGGCUCUUACAGGAUGACGGCAGAUUUUGGGACUGGAGGAGAGAGAUGCCCGUGUACUUCGUAAGUUGGAAUCAGAAUGCUACCCUCGUGGGUUCUCCCAAAGGUUUUUAACAGGGUGUGUGGCGUGGAAAGGCAGGUAACGUGGUCUUGCUCGAUUGACCCGAUGCAUUCAAGUGAAGUGAGGCAGGGGAGGGCCAUUGUGUUGAGGCCAACAUCACUGUUGAACUUUCCGGAGAUGAAAACCCCUAAUCUUUGUUGCAGGUUGUGAUCCCACCAGAGUUCUCAGUUUGAACAACCUGGGUAUGUUGAUUUAACAGGCAGCCUUACAUUUCCUUGCCCAUUGUUUGAGUUGAGAGGCCUUGAUUUUCUUCUUUGAAAUGUUUUCCUUCUAAAAACACCUCAAAAUCUGAACUGAUGGCUUUCAGUAAAUUUAUAAGGUGUUGUUUAGGGGGUGAUGGUUCCAUAAGUUCAACUCUAGAUAGAUAGCUACAGCUUGUUGGUUUCAAACGGUAAAUGAAAGACCGCCUUGUUUCAAAGUUCUUUCUUUGGAGGAGUAAUUCAAACUUUAAUUUACAGUUCAAAUCUAAA